rnacentral:rRNA from 1 species
GACGAACCGUGCGAACGUUGUUCGGAAUCACUGGGCUUAAAGGGCGCGUAGGCGGGCUGCCGCGUCCGGGGUGAAAUCCCACGGCUCAACCGUGGAACUGCCUCGGAUACGGGCGGUCUCGAGGGGGGUAGGGGCACGCGGAACUGUGGGUGGAGCGGUGAAAUGCGUUGAUAUCCACAGGAACUCCGGUGGCGAAGGCGGCGUGCUGGACCCCAUCUGACGCUGAGGCGCGAAAGCCAGGGGAGCAAACGGGAUUAGAUACCCCGGUAGUCCUGGCCCUAAACGUUGGGUACUAGGUAGUAGACCAGACAUGGGUUUACUGCCGGAGCAAAAGUGCUAAGUACCCCGCCUGGGGAGUAUGGUCGCAAGGCUGAA